UACAGAGGUCUCGAGCGUUGUUCGGAUUCAUUGGGCGUAAAGGGUGCGUAGGUGGCGUGGUAAGUCUGGUGUGAAAUCCCGGGCUCAACCCCGGAACUGCACUGGAUACUGCCAUGCUUGAGUACUGGAGAGGAGAUUGGAAUUUACGGUGUAGCAGUGAAAUGCGUAGAUAUCGUAAGGAAGACCAGUGGCGAAGGCGAAUCUCUGGACAGUUACUGACACUG
rnacentral:rRNA from 1 species